GAUGAACGCUGGCGGCGUGCCUAAUACAUGCAAGUCGAGCGAACAGACGAGGAGCUUGCUCCUCUGACGUUAGCGGCGGACGGGUGAGUAACACGUGGAUAACCUACCUAUAAGACUGGGAUAACUUCGGGAAACCGGAGCUAAUACCGGAUAAUAUAUUGAACCGCAUGGUUCAAUAGUGAAAGACGGUUUUGCUGUCACUUAUAGAUGGAUCCGCGCCGCAUUAGCUAGUUGGUAAGGUAACGGCUUACCAAGGCAACGAUGCGUAGCCGACCUGAGAGGGUGAUCGGCCACACUGGAACUGAGACACGGUCCAGACUCCUACGGGAGGCAGCAGUAGGGAAUCUUCCGCAAUGGGCGAAAGCUUGCCGGAGCAACGCCGCGUGAGUGAUGAAGGUCUUCGGAUCGUAAAACUCUGUUAUUAGGGAAGAACAAAUGUGUAAGUAACUAUGCACGUCUUGACGGUACCUAAUCAGAAAGCCACGGCUAACUACGU
rnacentral:rRNA from 1 species